rnacentral:lncRNA from 1 species
GGAAAUCUAAACACAUUACCUUCAUACUGAACCCAAUUUUGAAUGGCCUUCUCAACGGUCAAGCUCUUAUAUGGAGCAUUGGCAUAUGGAACAUAAUCCCGACUUUUUGGCCACGGAAAUGGGGUAACAUACCCCUUAGGUGCUGGAAUAAGGCAAUGCAACUUCUUUUCUUGAGGUGGACAAUGCCUUUCCCGAUAGAUCAUAUUUUCCCUUGGGAAGUGCAUAGCACGCUUUUGAUCUUGACACGGUGAAUGGAGCAUUGGCAUAGGGAACAUAAUCCCGACUUUUUGGCCACGGAAAUGGGGUAACAUACCCCUUAGGUGCUGGAAUAAGGCAAUGCAACUUCUUUUCUUGAGGUGGACAAUGCCUUUCCCGAUAGAUCAUAUUUUCCCUUGGGAAGUGCAUAGCACGCUUUUGAUCUUGACACGGUGUAUGAUCGGUAUAACGAGGAUGACAUGGCUUAAAUUUUUUGACUUCUGUUCCUGAAUCAUCAAUUCUAC